rnacentral:rRNA from 1 species
GACGAACGCUGGCGGCGUGCUUAACACAUGCAAGUCGACCGAAGAGCGACGGAAGCUUGCUUCUAUCAAUCUUAGUGGCGAACGGGUGAGUAACGCGUAAUCAACCUGCCCUUCAGAGGGGGACAACAGUUGGAAACGACUGCUAAUACCGCAUACGAUCUAAACUCGGCAUCGAGGAUAGAUGAAAGGUGGCCUCUACAUGUAAGCUAUCACUGAAGGAGGGGAUUGCGUCUGAUUAGCUAGUUGGAGGGGUAACGGCCCACCAAGGCGAUGAUCAGUAGCCGGUCUGAGAGGAUGAACGGCCACAUUGGGACUGAGACACGGCCCAGACUCCUACGGGAGGCAGCAGUGGGGAAUCUUCCGCAAUGGACGAAAGUCUGACGGAGCAACGCCGCGUGAGUGAUGACGGCCUUCGGGUUGUAAAGCUCUGUUAAUCGGGACGAAAG